ACUGCCCUGGCUUCCUGCGCCUCUUCAGGUCAUCGCUUGCUCUCGUUCCCAGGCUUUGGCCUCUAGUGGACGAGAAUCACCGAGUCUGCGGGGCUGGACGCUGACUGCCCGGGCCAGCACCUAGGCGGGCGGGAGCUGUGCGGCCCAGGGUUCACGCGGGCCGGGUAGAGGCUCGAGCCGGGACCCCCGAGCGUGAACCCCGGAGCCGGCGGCGCUGGGGCCAGAGGGGCCGGGCGGGAGGUGGUGGCGGAGGCGAAGGGGCGACGGGACCUGGGCCUGGCCCGUGUGUGUCCUCGGCGGCCUGGCGCCGGCCGUCGCUGUACGGUGAGCCCCAGGGAGGCGGAUCUGGGCCCCGAGAAGGACCCCCGCCUGGAUUUGCCCCGUAGGCCCGGCCCGGGCCCCUCGGGAGCAGAACAGCUUUGGUGAGGUGGACAGGAGGUGACCUCGCGAGCAGACGCGCGCGCCAGCGACAGCAGCCCGCCCCGGCCUCUCGGGAGCCGUGGGGCAGAGGCUGCGGAGCCCCAGGAGGGUGAUUUCUGCCUUUGCAGGCCGGAGCCCUCAUGACUUCAGUGACCUGCUUCUGCCCCUCUAGGUCUAUCAGCCACAGUCUCUGCAAGUUUCCAAGAGCAGCAGAAAAUGAACACAUUGCAGGGGCCAGUGUCAUUCAAAGAUGUGGCUGUGGAUUUCACCCAGGAGGAGUGGCAGCAACUGGACCCUGAUGAGAAGAUAGCAUACGGGGAUGUGAUGUUGGAGAACUACAGCCAUCUAGUUUCUGUGGGGUAUGAUUAUCACCAAGCCAAACAUCAUCAUGGAGUGGAGGUGAAGGAAGUGGAGCAGGGAGAGGAGCCGUGGAUAAUGGAAGGUGAAUUUCCAUGUCAACAUAGUCCAGCUUUCACAGCAUUGAAAAGAUCAUUGGCUGGUGGCUCUGACUGUUUCCGGCUAUGACGAUGUACCACUCGGGACCCUUUCUCUGGAUGUUUGCCAUCUAAUAUGUAUAAAAAGAUCAGAAAUAUGAAAAAAAGGUAACAAUGACAUUAA